rnacentral:rRNA from 1 species
ACGCACGCUGGCGGCGUGCUUAACACAUGCAAGUCGAACGGAAAGGCCCUGCUUUUGUGGGGUGCUCGAGUGGCGAACGGGUGAGUAACACGUGAGUAACCUGCCCUUGACUUUGGAAUAACUUCAGGAAACUGGGGCUAAUACCGGAUAGGAGCUCCUGCUGCAUGGUGGGGGUUGGAAAGUUUCGGCGGUUGGGGAUGGACUCGCGGCUUAUCAGCUUGUUGGUGGGGUAGUGGCUUACCAAGGCUUUGACGGGUAGCCGGCCUGAGAGGGUGACCGGCCACAUUGGGACUGAGAUACGGCCCAGACUCCUACGGGAGGCAGCAGUGGGGAAUAUUGCACAAUGGGCGGAAGCCUGAUGCAGCAACGCCGCGUGCGGGAUGACGGCCUUCGGGUUGUAAACCGCUUUCGCCUGUGACGAAGCGUGAGUGACGGUAAUGGGUAAAGAAGCACCGGCUAACUACGU